GACGUAGGGUGCAAGCGUUGUCCGGAAUCAUUGGGCGUAAAGAGCUCGUAGGCGGCUUAGUAAGUCGGGUGUGAAAACCCCAGGCUCAACCUGGGGACGCCACCCGAUACUGCUAUAGCUAGAGUCCAGUAGGGGAGUGUGGAAUUCCCAGUGUAGCGGUGAAAUGCGCAGAUAUUGGGAGGAACACCAGCGGCGAAGGCGGCACUCUGGGCUGGUACUGACGCUGAGGAGCGAAAGCGUGGGUAGCGAACAGG
rnacentral:rRNA from 1 species